rnacentral:rRNA from 1 species
CGUUCGGAAUGAGUACGAUUCGAACCACCUAACGAGGAACGAUCGGAGGGCAAGUCUGGUGCCAGCAGCCGCGGUAAUUCCAGCUCCAAUAGCGUACGUUAAAGUUGCUGCAGUUAAAAAGCUCGUAGUUGAACGUUCGGGUUCCGCGGGACGGGGCCGCCCCGCGAGGGACGGCGCCGCCCCGGGGCUCGUGAUAUCUUAUCUCGCCGCCCGUCGCGAGGCGGACGGAGGGAUGGAUGAGGUUACCUGGAAAAAAUCGGGGCGAUCUAGGCGGGCGAACCUCGCCAACGAACGAUCGGACAUGGGAUAACGGAAGAGGGCGUCGGCUCGACUUCGUCGGUUCCUCGGGCCGAGGCACGUACGGUGAAUAGGGACGGUCGGGGCCGCCCGUACCGGGUCGUGAGAGGUGAAAUUCUAGGAUCGACCCGAGACGAACUGCCGCGAAAGCAUUCGGCAAGGACGCUUUCAUUAAUCAAGAACGAAAGUC